rnacentral:rRNA from 1 species
ACUCCUACGGGAGGCAGCAGUGGGAAUAUUGCACAAUGGGCGCAAGCCUGAUGCAGCCAUGCCGCGUGUGUGAAGAAGGCCUUCGGGUUGUAAAGCACUUUCAGUAGGGAGGAAGGUGGUAGUGUUAAUNGCGCUAUCAUUUGACGUUACCUACAGAAGAAGCACCGGCUAACUCCGUGCCAGCAGCCGCGGUAAUACGGAGGGUGCGAGCGUUAANCGGAAUUACUGGGCGUAAAGCGCAUGCAGGUGGUUUGUUAAGUCAGAUGUGAAA